AGCGAACGCUGGCGGCAGGCUUAACACAUGCAAGUCGAGCGCCCCGCCAGGGGAGCGGCAGACGGGAGAGUACCACGUGGGAACAUACCUUUUGGUUCGGAACAACUGAGGGAAACUUCAGCUAAUACCGGAUAAGCCCUUACGGGGAAAGAUUUAUCGCCGAAAGAUUGGCCCGCGUCUGAUUAGCUAGUUGGUGAGGUAACGGCUCACCAAGGCGACGAUCAGUAGCUGGUCUGAGAGGAUGAUCAGCCUCACUGGGACUGAGACACGGCCCAGACUCCUACGGGAGGCAGCAGUGGGGAAUAUUGGACAAUGGGAGCAACCCUGAUCCAGCCAUGCCGCGUGAGUGAUGAAGGCCUUAGGGUUGUAAAGCUCUUUUGCCCGGGAAGAUAAUGACGGUACCGGGAGAAUAAGCCCCGGCUAACUUCGUG
rnacentral:rRNA from 1 species